GGUUGCGAACAGAAGGCAGGAAAGGAGAAACCCUUCUCCUUCAAUUGAGUUCAAGAAAUUCAGCCAAUUGAAGCCCUAAUCGUAGUUGUACUCAUGCAUGUCAAUGAUUUCUUGGUCAUCUAGCCCUAACAAAUACAUGAAUAGGAACCACACUAGCAUGGACCAAGCAUGGAAGGCUAACGGGACAAGACGAGGCAAGGAAGCGGGUAUGAACACGAAUGCACAAGGAACGAGUACAUCGGAUUCUUACGAAAUUUAAGCCCAACCCGGAAUAAGAGGAUGAGUGAUACACGGACUUCUUCUGCUACUUAGGAAGUGAAGCGGACGUAGAUCGAGUCAAGAGCAAGGAUUGCACGGAUAGAUCGAUCAUAUAGUUGAAAUAUAUAACGUCUAGAAAUGUAAAUUUUAGUAUGAAUGUUGUGAAUUCUUUUAUAGAACGUUUAACAUUUUAGCUUUUGGGAACCUUCUCGAAAGUAAUGUCGUUAAUAAGGAAAGAAAUUUUAAAGCUC